UUAAUUAUAUAAAAAUAGUCAAUUUUUAAUUUUGAUCCUAUACAUGGCUUAGCGAAAGUGACAGAAAACCAUCACCCCAAUUCUCAACUAUAAGAAGCCUUGCAUAAUGGAGGUUCAGCAUUGUGCAAAAGCCACCACUGAAACAAUGGCUUAUCUUCAACCAUUGAUCUUCUAUAUUUUGGCUGCUCUUGCAAUAUUCUGGCUUUCCCCCAUCCUCUUUAGCUAAGAUUGAAUGAGAAGAUAAUCAACAAAUGCUAUACUACUGGAUUUGGUUAUAAGCUUCUGCUGCAAUAAGCUAGCGAGACUGCACAUCUGAAGCCACCUCAUGAAUAUGUGCCAUGGGUGGUGGUGAAUAAUCAGCCACUCAGACAAGCGAGACUGAAAAAUUUGUGAAAUAUGUGUGCCAAGCUUAUAAAGGAGAUCAUAAACCAGCUGCUUGCAAAGCACAAUCAUCCAGUCACAGCUCAACCAUCCAUGCAUAAAACCAUCCGCCAGCAACUCCGGUUAUAGACUUCUACAAGCUGGCACUUCAAUUGCCUCCCUCAGCUGCUUGGCACUUCAAUUGCCUCCUUCAGCUUUCAGCUCUAGUCUGAACUCUAGAGCCCCAAUCCCAACCAAAUUUACAAUACACGGAAUCUGAACACAAGAUGCUCAAGAGAAUCUAAUGCCCCUGUAUGAUGCAAGGAAUCCCCGCACCCAUCUGCAACCUAUUACAACAGCACAGGGACUUCAAGUACGCAUAGGUACUUUUAUCACCUAAAACUAUUAAAUAAUUUAUCUGUCAUCUAACCAAAAUUUUGUUUUUUAUAUAAAAGCUUUUUGUUGCAAAGUGAUCAAACUCUUUGGCAAGACUUACCCAUACUAUGGCCAAAGUUGAAAUCGAAAGGGCUGUAUUGCUUGCCAAAUACAUAAGACAAUCGUGGUAAAUCUACGUAUGGAAAUUCUGUGACACUGGAUCCGCUAUUACACUGGCCGUAAAAUAAGUUUGAAUAAUUUUGAGGUGUUCCAAGGGAUGAGAUGGUCUCGGCCUUCCAUAACAAGUAUACAUCU